rnacentral:rRNA from 1 species
UGGGGAAUAUUGGACAAUGGGCGCAAGCCUGAUCCAGCCAUGCCGCGUGAGUGAUGAAGGCCCUAGGGUUGUAAAGCUCUUUCACCGGUGAAGAUAAUGACGGUAACCGGAGAAGAAGCUCCGGCUAACUUCGUGCCAGCAGCCGCGGUAAUACGAAGGGGGCCAGCGUUGUUCGGAUUUACUGGGCGUAAAGCGCAUGUAGGCGGACUAUUAAGUCAGGGGUGAAAUCCCGGGGCUCAACCCCGGAACUGCCUUUGAUACGGGUGGUCUUGAGUUCGAGAGAGGUGAGUGGAAUUCCGAGUGUAGAGGUGAAAUUCGUAGAUAUUCGGAGGAACACCAGUGGCGAAGGCGGCUCACUGGCUCGAUACUGACGCUGAGGUGCGAAAGCGUGGGGAGCAAACAGG